GACGAACGCUGGCGGCGUGCUUAACACAUGCAAGUCGAACGGAAAGGCCCUGCUUUUGUGGGGUGCUCGAGUGGCGAACGGGUGAGUAACACGUGAGUAACCUGCCCUUGACUUUGGGAUAACUUCAGGAAACUGGGGCUCAUACCGGAUAGGAGCUCUUGCUGCAUGGUGGGGGUUGGUAAGUUUCGGCGGUUGGGGAUGGACUUGCGGCUUAUCCGCUUGUUGGUGGGGUAGUGGCUUACCAAGGCUUUGACGGGUAGCCGGCCUGAGAGGGUGACCGGCCACAUGGGUACUAAGAUACGGCCCAGACUCCUACGGGAGGCAGCAGUGGGGAAUAUUGCACAAUGGGCGGAAGCCUGAUGCAGCAACGCCGCGUGCGGGAUGACGGCCUUCGGGUUGUAAACCGCUUUCGCCUGUGACGAAGCGUGAGUGACGGUAAUGGGUAAAGAAGCACCGGCUAACUACGUG
rnacentral:rRNA from 1 species